UCUACGGGUGGCUGCAGUGAGGAAUAUUGGUCAAUGGGCGCGAGCCUGAACCAGCCAAGUAGCGUGAAGGAUGACUGCCCUACGGGUUGUAAACUUCUUUUAUAAAGGAAUAAAGUGAGGCACGUGUGCCUUUUUGUAUGUACUUUAUGAAUAAGGAUCGGCUAACUCCGUGCCAGCAGCCGCGGUAAUACGGAGGAUCCGAGCGUUAUCCGGAUUUAUUGGGUUUAAAGGGAGCGUAGGUGGAUUGUUAAGUCAGUUGUGAAAGUUUGCGGCUCAACCGUAAAAUUGCAGUUGAAACUGGCAGUCGUGAGUACAGUAGAGGUGGGCGGAAUUCGUGGUGUAGCGGUGAAAUGCUUAGAUAUCACGAAGAACUCCGAUUGCGAAGGCAGCUCACUGGACUGCAACUGACACUGAUGCUCGAAAGUGUGGGUAUCAAACAGGAUUAGAUACCCCAGUAGUC
rnacentral:rRNA from 1 species